rnacentral:rRNA from 1 species
UCUGUUUGAUCCUGGCGGAGGUCACUGCUAUCGGGGUUCGACUAAGCCAUGCAAGUCGAGAGGGGUAAAGCCCUCGGCGAACUGCUCAGUAACACGUGGAUAACCUGACCUAGGGUGGAGGAUAACCCCGGGAAACUGGGGAUAAUACUCCAUAGGCUACGGAAGCUGGAAUGCUCUGUAACCAAAAGCUCCGGCGCCCUAGGAUGGGUCUGCGGCCGAUUAGGUUGUUGUUGGGGUAACGGCCCAACAAGCCGAUCAUCGGUACGGGUUGUGGGAGCAAGAGCCCGGAGAUGGAUUCUGAGACAUGAAUCCAGGCCCUACGGGGCGCAGCAGGCGCGAAAACUUUACAAUGCGGGAAACCGUGAUAAGGGGACCCCGAGUGCCUGUACACGCAGGCUGUUCAGGUGUUUAAAACGCAUCUGGAGAAAGGGCCGGGCAAGACCGGUGCCAGCCGCCGCGGUAAUACCGGCGGCUCGAGUGGUGGCCACUAUUACUGGGCUUAAAGCGUCCGUAGCCGGGUCGUUAAGUCUCUUGGGAAAUCCAACGGCUCAACCGUUGGGCGUUCAAGGGAUACUGGCAAUCUAGGGACUGGGGGAGGUGAGAGGUACUCUAGGGGUAGGAGUGAAAUCCUGUAAUCCUUGGGGGACCACCUGUGGCGAAGGCGUCUCACCAGAACAGCUCCGACGGUGAGGGGCGAAAGCUGGGGGAGCAAACCGGAUUAGAUACCCGGGUAGUCCCAGCUGCAAACGAUGCGCGUUAGGUGUAUCGGUGACUACGAGUCACCGAGGUGCCGAAGGGAAACCGUGAAACGUGCCGCCUGGGAAGUACGGUCGCAAGGCUGAAACUUAAAGGAAUUGGCGGGGGAGCACCACAACGGGUGGAGCCUGCGGUUUAAUUGGACUCAACGCCGGGAAGCUCACCGGGUAAGACAGCGGAGUGAUAGCCAGGCUGAAGACUUUGCUUGACCAGCUGAGAGGAGGUGCAUGGCCGUCGUCAGUUCGUACUGUGAAGCAUCCUGUUAAGUCAGGCAACGAGCGAGACCCA